rnacentral:rRNA from 1 species
UACGUAGGGUGCAAGCGUUGUCCGGAAUUAUUGGGCGUAAAGAGCUCGUAGGCGGUCUGUCACGUCGGCUGUGAAAACCCGAGGCUCAACCUCGGGCCUGCAGUCGAUACGGGCAAACUAGAGUACUGCAGGGGAGACUGGAAUUCCUGGUGUAGCGGUGAAAUGCGCAGAUAUCAGGAGGAACACCGGGGGCGAAGGCGGGUCUCUGGGCAGUAACUGACGCUGAGGAGCGAAAGCGUGGGGAGCGAACAGG